UACGAAGGGGGCGAGCGUUGUUCGGAAUUACUGGGCGUAAAGGGCGCGUAGGCGGCCGAUCAAGUCAGAUGUGAAAGCCCCGGGCUUAACCUGGGAAUUGCAUUUGAUACUCUGGAGCUUGAGUACGGGAGAGGAGAGUGGAAUUCCCAGUGUAGAGGUGAGAUUCGUAGAUAUUGGGAAGAACACCGGUGGCGAAGGCGGCUCUCUGGACCGUAACUGACGCUGAGGCGCGAAAGCGUGGGGAGCAAACAGG
rnacentral:rRNA from 1 species